CCGGGAGCAGAGCAAAGGCUGCGGGGCUGGGGCCGUGCUCAGUGCGGCCUGGCGAGGCGUGGAGAGAGCAGCGACUCUCUUGUUUCUCGUCGUCGAUGCCAAUCAUGUCCAAAGGGACGGAGGAGGCCCCCAACUCUGGGGAGCCAGUGUGCAUGCUGUGCCGCCGGGCACAGGUCAACCCGGACAUCUGCGGGCAGACAUUUGCCAACGGUGGGCUCUGUGCCCACCAGUUCUGCUUGUUCUUUGCCAAUGGCCUUUUGGAAUGGAGAAGCCCAAUGGGGGG
rnacentral:lncRNA from 1 species